UGUGGGCAUGUGAGUGUGUCAGUGUGUGCUUUUAUGUGUCUAUCAUGGAACCCUCCGGCUCACAGCAUCGGCGGAAUGUGUCUGUAAAAGG
rnacentral:miRNA from 1 species